rnacentral:rRNA from 1 species
GGUGACCUCGAUCAGUAGAUUGCCAU